CAGCCGCCGCGGGAAUACGAAGGGGGCUAGCGUUGCUCGGAAUUACUGGGCGUAAAGGGAGCGUAGGCGGAUCGUUUAGUCAGGGGUGAAAUCCCGGGGCUCAACCUCGGAACUGCCUUUGAUACUGGCGAUCUUGUGUAUGGGAGAGGUGUGUGGAACUCCGAGUGUAGAGGUGAAAUUCGUAGAUAUUCGGAAGAACACCAGUGGCGAAGGCGACACACUGGCCCAUUACUGACGCUGAGGCUCGAAAGCUAGGGGAGCAAACAGGAUUAGAUACCCCCGUAGUCCCUGUCUCUUAUAC
rnacentral:rRNA from 1 species